AGAGUUUGAUCCUGGCUCAGGAUGAACGCUAGCUACAGGCCUAACACAUGCAAGUCGAGGGGCAGCAUGGGGUCCGCUUGCGGAUCCCGAUGGCGACCGGCGAAUGGGUGAGUCACGCGUGUCCAACCUGCCCCGCGCCCGGGGAUAGCCCUUGGAAAUGAGGAUUAAGACCCGAUAUGCGCACGCCCCGCAUGGCGCGUGCGUGAAUGGAGGCGCGGGAUGGGGACGCGUCGGAUUAGCUUGACGGCGGGGCGACGGCCCACCGUGGCGACGAUCCGCAGGGGUUCUGAGAGGAAGGUCCCCCACACUGGCACUGAGACACGGGCCAGACUCCUACGGGAGGCAGCAGUGAGGAAUAUUGGUCAAUGGCCGAGAGGCUGAACCAGCCAAGUAGCGUGCAGGAUGACGGCCCUACGGGUUGUAAACUGCUUUUGCGGGAGGAUAACCGGCGCCACGGGUGGCGCCCUGCAGGUAUCCCGUGAAUAAGGACCGGCUAAUUCCGUGCCAGCAGCCGCGGUAAUACGGAAGGUCCGGGCGUUAUCCGGAUUUAUUGGGUCUAAAGGGAGCGCAGGCGGGCUGUCAAGCGUGCCGUGAAAUUUCGGGGCUCAACCCCGUUAAGCGGCGCGAACUGGCGGCCUUGGUUGCGGGAGAGGGAGGCGGAACUCGUGGUGUAGCGGUGAAAUGCAUAGAUAUCACGAAGAACCCCGAUUGCGAAGGCAGCCUCCCGGCCCGUUAACGACGCUCAUGCUCGAAGGCGCGGGUAUCAAACAGGAUUAGAUACCCUGGUAGUCCGCGCGGUAAACGAUGGACACUCGGGAUUUGCCCCUUUUUGGGUGAGUCCCCCAGCGAAAGCGUUAAGUGUCCCACCUGGGGAGUACGCCGGCAACGGUGAAACUCAAAGGAAUUGACGGGGGCCCGCACAAGCGGAGGAGCAUGUGGUUUAAUUCGAUGAUACGCGAGGAACCUUACCUGGACUCAAAUGCAGUCUGAAUAGCACAGAAAUGAGCUAGGCCUUCGGGACAGACUGCAAGGUGCUGCAUGGUUGUCGUCAGCUCGUGCCGUGAGGUGUCAGGUUAAGUCCUAUAACGAGCGCAACCCCUACGUCCAGUUGCCAUCGGUUCGGCCGGGCACUCUGGACGGACUGCCCGCGCAAGCGGAGAGGAAGGCGGGGAUGACGUCAAAUCAGCACGGCCCUUACGUCCGGGGCGACACACGUGCUACAAUGGCCGGCACAGAGGGAAGCCACCCCGCGAGGGGGAGCGGAUCCCGAAAGUCGGUCACAGUCCGGAUCGGGGGCUGCAACCCGCCCCCGUGAAGCUGGAAUCGCUAGUAAUCGCGCAUCAGCCAUGGCGCGGUGAAUACGUUCCCGGGCCUUGCACUCACCGCCCGUCA
rnacentral:rRNA from 1 species